GACCCCAGGUCAGGCGGGGUUACCCGCU
rnacentral:rRNA from 1 species